rnacentral:rRNA from 1 species
GACGAACGCUGGCGGCGUGCUUAAUACAUGCAAGUCGAACGGAAAGGCCCUGCUCUUGUGGGGUGCUCGAGUGGCGAACGGGUGAGUAACACGUGAGUAACCUGCCCUUGACUUUGGGAUAACUUCAGGAAACUGCGGCUAAUACCGGAUAGGAGCUCCUGCUGCAUGGUGGGGGUUGGAAAGAUUCGGCGGUUGGGGAUGGGCUCGCGGCUUAUCAGCUUGUUGGUGGGGUAGUGGCUUACCAAGGCUUUGACGGGUAGCCGGCCUGAGAGGGUGACCGGCCACAUUGGUACUGAGAGACGGCCCAGACGCCUACGGGAGGCAGCAGUGGGGAGUAUUGCACAAUGGGCGGAAGCCUGAUGCAGCAACGCCGCGUGCGGGAUAACGGCCUUCGGGUUGUAAACCGCUUUCGCCGGUGACGAAGCGUGAUUGACGGUAAUGGGUAAAGAAGCACCGGCUAACUACGUG